AUCCAAACAUAGCCUAAUCGAAAACUGGUUCACCCAUGGUUUAAUGAGCUUCCCAAGGAACCACCCCACUUUAAAUAUCGGACCGUUCUCCAUUAGCCGCUUGUGUGCUUACUCUGUAUUUCCAUGGCGAAACUCUAGAAGGUUCUUUCCUCUCAAUUCUUGGAGUUCCGAAAUCAGUCGAGGACAGCGAAGCUAGGUGCUGGUGGAGGAUGUUUCGUAAAGAAUUCAUGGUGCUGCUUUUCUUUAUACUGCUUAUGUUUCUUCCUUGAAUCUCUCUUUUUUGGGGGGUCUUGAUAGGUUUUGUUGGAUAUCAUGUGCCAUUGAACAGUUUUUUACAACCCUUACCAAAAAAGAACAGUUUUUACAACUUUUUAAUUCUUAUUGUGAUGUAGCCGUGGAGUCUUAGGAAAUUUUCACUGCUUUUUUCCUCUUUGCCCUAGUUCACUGUUUUCAGUCCUUUGUUAUACUUGACAUGAAGCUACCAUCUGACUUCUCAAUACUGGUUACUCAUGUGAUUUUCAUACUGAUUGUCAUUUUAAACCUUGCCAGAAACAAGAGAAGUUGUACCUUUUUGUGUUUUCGCACUAAGUUGUCCUUUUGUUGUCUGGACAUUUCAAAACACUUGCUCAACCUAUCUGCUCUACCAUUUUUUAUUACAGAAUCUUGAUAGGCUCCAUCAUCUUCAGCUUUGCUGAACACUGGAUAAACAAUUAUGCUUCAGAUGCUUUUCUCAUGUUCAAGUCUUGUUUUGGGUUAUUUGUACAUUUCAAAUUGUAGGCUGAAGCAAUCUGGAUCUCUUUUCUCUCUCUCUCUCUCUCUCUCCCCUCCCCCCCCCCCCUUCUCUUUUUCUUUUUAAAUUACCUAGAGCCUUAACCAAGUUAUGCUUUGCCUGGCUGUCUCUUUUUAGUGUAAUGCAAUCUCUUUACUUUGAUACUUAUGCUCGAGAUGCUUUUCACAGUGCUCAAGUUUUUUUUUUUUUUCCUGGGUUAGUUGAAUGUUUCAAGUUGUUGGCCAAACCAAUCUGGACCUCUUAUGCGUUGCCUGGCUGUCUCUUUUGGUUAUAGUACCUCUUUACUUUGGUUCUGAUGUUCUCAAUCCUCGGAGGGAUGGCAAAGAAGAUUCAGUUGGAGUUGUCUUAUUUUUUAUCCACCCUGAUUCAAGUUUGAUGGGAUUAAUAUAUUGGCUGGGCCACUACCUUCUACAAUCUGUUCUCAAGUACUUGUGAUCUUACACAAGACUGGUCUUAAGCAGAUGAUUCAUUCAGUCUGCCUUCCUUUGCUCGCCUUCUCCUUCCCUUCCUCUUCUGUUACCCCGACAUUUAUUCUAAGUUUUUUAGAUGAGUUAUUUUCUUUUAUCUAUACCUUUUAGUUCUUUAUAGUUUACUCAAGUUACUUGUUUUUAUUCAUUUUCUUAAUUUUCCUCCUCUUUCUUUUUUUUGGUUCUUGCAGAAACAAAAUUUAAAAAAUAGUGGAAUUAGCAACUGUUCCACAAAACCUGAACUGUGAAGCAAAACAUGUCAUGCACUCGUGAGAUGGGAGCCUUAGGAAUAUUCAUCAACCUUCAGCUGGAUUUCAUAAAUUUGGAGUAUUUCCAUCCUCACGUGGGCAUGAAAGGAAGUUUCCUACCAUAAACAUGUAUGAACUAGGUUCUUAAUAAAUAAAUGUAAAUCAAGUGAUCUUGACCAUAUAAUGUGACGCUGUACCCUAGCAAAAAAAAAAAAUGCCAUGUAAUGUGAUGUUGAAGCUCCCAACACCCACUCCACUCACCCCCAAUCCCUCCCACCCCAAAAAAAAAGAAAAGAAGGUUACAUUAUAUUUUCCAUUUUUUUAUGCAUGUUCUUCUUAUAUCAGCAUUGCCAUAUAUUUCUUCCUCGUGAAGCUUUCGUGGUGCUUAAAUUUGUCCAUAUCAUUUGCGAUGUUCCAAUACAAAUUGCAUUUCUCACUUGGUAAUGUGGGGUUUUGACAAACAAUAGAAGAAAUCAAUGCAUUUUUAUUUAUUUAUAAACAACAAAAAUAAAUGCAUAAUACAUAAUUGGCUAUGAAAUGAAAAGUUCAUGAAAUGUUCUGAACUCUUGAAAAAAAAAAAAUGUUCUAAAUUUGACAUGUGGCUAACAUAUGGGGUGUACCAGCUUUCCAAUAGAUAAUCUGACAGGAUAAAUCACAACAGCUUUGAUUGCAAAUUUGUCUAGGUUGUAGGUAAAGGAAAGGGAAGGAAAAUUAGUUUAAAAAAAGGAAAAUUUUCUUUUCCCUUUUUUUUUUUUUUUUUUUGGUUAAAUCUUUAUUUUUAACAUUGUUUUUAGUUGCUAAAAAUUCUUAGUAAUUGCAAUUUUCAGAACCAGUCUUUCUUUCAUUUUUCAAAUUGAAGAGAAUUAAUUGUGAAAUAGAUCAAAACUUUAGGGGGAGGGGCUGAAACAUUGCCCAUAUUGGUAUCUCCAGCACCAAAUUAAUUGGCACAAGGGAGAGAUUGCAUCCUGAUUUAUAUAGAGGGGUCCACAUGGUCAAGGAAAAUAGAGAGUACUAGGGUGGAGAGGAAGUAUGAGAGUGCCUCACCGAUGGUGUGUAAAUUUGUUUUUAAAGUAUGAUAACAAGUGAAAUGAUUGAGAUUUAAAUACUAUGUGAUUAUUAUAAAAGGUUAUUUUUCUAAGUUUAAUUUUAUUUCAUUUCCCUUCAUUUGACAGUGAAGAUUAUAUUAAAGUUCUUUUUCUCUAU